UAGUAUUAUUACAUUGUUAUUACAGAAAAUCAACAAAGGUAUCUCAAGGAGCUGAUGUGUUAGUGUUGUGUGAACCAAACUGAUGUCAGGCACCAGUAUGUCGAACUCAGGGUGUGUGUGCAAUUCAGGCUACUCAUCCACAAAGAGAGGAAGGUGUUGAUGGUGAAAAUUCUUGCUUCAAUAAAUUGGACCUAGAGUCUUUUGUUUUCAAGGUUUGGACACUCCUACGCCUUUAGCUUUGUGAUGAUAUCCGGAACAUAGAUGAAUGUUCAUGUGCAGUUCCUUGUGAGAUGCACAUCUUUAUUGUGGUACCUUCUGAUUCAAUAAUAUCCUGCUUGAUAUGCCCUACCCAACUACAUAAUAAGCUGGUACGUAUUAGCAGAAACGAAACCUCCAGAUAAAGAUGUGCCCAUAUAUUAUCAUGGAAAAUCCCUGUGACUUUUGGCACGUUAUUUGUAUUUCAUCAUGCUUGAUUGUUGCCUUUUUCUGAAAGUCUCCAUUGUUGCACGUGUUGAUUCUUUGUAUUUCUUUCUAAGUUUAUGCAUAAGAUAGUCCUGAGUUUUUUCUUAUUACUACGAGUGUAUAGACUGGAGCUGGAAAGACUCUAUCAUGGAGAUAAAGGUAACAUCUUUGGGUUUAAAUUUGGAUGCUGAGAGGGGCCAAGCAUCUUUCUAUACUCUGAUAUAUACGGUAGUGCCGGGCAAACAAAUUUUGUUUUUUGAAGUGAAUAUGUGUUCUCAGUCUGAAUUAUAACUUUUCUGUCAAUAAGAGAAAUACUGACAUACAGAUAAGUGCUCUCUAUUCCAAUCUUUUUCUUGCAAUUUUUUUUGGAAAGGCAACCAAAUAUUCAAAUUCUAUAUUGUCUUAUCUCAUCAUGUUCAAUUUAGAUUGUAAACAACUGGCAUUUCCCAACUUAAAAAUGUUUCUUGUCUUGCUGUCAUCAUGUCUGCUCAUAGUUUUCAAUCUACUACCGUUGUGUUUAUAUGAAAAUCUUUUGGCUUCAUGGGUAUCAACCAAGCAUGAAUUGUUGAGGAACCGUCCAUUUUGCAAGGAACUAAUUGCUGCUUUAAGAUAACACAACAUGUUCAGCUUUUUUAUGUUCCAGACUAUACAGAGCUAAUGAGUUUUCGUUGUGUAUUUGCUUUGAGGUAGCAUAUUCUGGUGUGAUUUUCUGUAUGUAGAGUUAACAAGUUUUCAUUGCUUUGUGGUAGCAGGUAAUGCUGAUUUCCUGAGUACUCAUUUAUACGUUUUUCUCUAUAUGACUGCAAAAUAGGCACUAGAUUCGGUUGUGGAGCCUUUUCUAUUGAUAAUGUGCUAUUUUUUAUCCGUUUUCAUUUUGUGUUACUGUCUUGCUUUGAAAAUCUAUUACUUUCAGGUCUUUCUGAUCAUAAGAUGAAACAACUACAUUUUUCAAAUUUGCUCAUGUUGGACAGCAGGUGCCGCUGAAACUGUUACAUGUGUAUGCAUGCUUGUCAUCAAGUACCGGGAUGCAAUCACUUGAUUUGUCGAUGAGAUCAACACCUGGCAGCCUAUCAAUGGUGGGAACGAUCAUUUACAAGGCUUGGUCAUGUCAACACUGGCGUAAAAGAUAAAAUUUUCAAUGAUUUCACGAGUCUCCAACUUGCUGCUCCGCACGCAACUAAACCUGCUUCCCAUGCCGGAGGCGACGCCGACCAGAUCCCAGCAACACAUCACAUGGGAGUAGAUGGCUCUGCCAGGGCAGUCGACGCUGGGGACCUAACCUCCUCCAUCUGGUCUGCAGGUUAGCUGAAAGGUCAUGCAUGCUACUGAGUUAUUGGUUCUGAUAGAUCUGGAGGUGCCCAAAGAUAAAUGGAGGUUCAGAGGUAUAGUGGAAGCCCGCACCCUGAAACUGCAACAAGUUGCAUCUAUAAGAGAUUUUUUCUUACACAUAGUAUACAGAAAAAACUUCAAUGUGAUAAAACAUCUUCAUUUUAGUGUUAUGUAAUUUUCGAUCAUAGUUAGCUGAACCAUGUAUAGCACAAUCCAUUGCCAGUUCAGUAUCAUCCUAAAUGGCUUAGUUAGAAGAUUAGUUCGGCAAUUAUAUCGGCUGACAAUUGUUCUGUGCUCCUUAUCGGCAAAUCACAUUUUUGUAACAAGUUAAAAGAUGUCCAUGUCUGGAUACCUGAUGUUAGCCUUGCUACUCCUGAGCCACUCGGCAUGAGACCAAGCACGGCAGCCAAGAGGAAGUUGGGUCAAUUCAUGGCUUGAGGCUACCGUUGCUCGACAUGAGACCGAGCACGACAGCCUAGAGCAAGUUGCCGUCAUCUUUAUGGCUGUAAGAACCUGUGGUGUAGUGCACGCAAGGCGGGUGAGAGGCCGAGCAAUCGAAGAAAGGCUGUUGUCAAGGUUGCCAGGCAGUGGAGUGACUCAUUUGUAUCAAACCUGCUUGAGGGGUAUAGCACGUGUGCUCUGUGCUCUUUUAUGUAAUAUGGAACGUUCUUUGAAUGUUGUUGAUCUCUGAAGCAUAUAUCUCUUCAGAUUGAUGAAAUAUUUAAGUCCAUAAUUGUAUG